AUUCCCCUAGUAACGGCGAGUGAAGCGGGAAGAGCUCAUGUUGUAAAUCUCCAGCUUGCUGGCGAAUUGUAGUCUAAAGGUGCGUGCUCAGUCGUGGUCCCGGGCUAAGUCUGUUGGAAAACAGCAUCAUGGACGGUGACAAUCCGGUUCUUGCCUGGGGUCCCGCGGCGUACGAGCCGUUUCCGACGAGUCGUGUUGCUUGGGAUUGCAGCACUAAGUGGGUGGUAAAUUCCAUCUAAAGCUAAAUAUUGGUGGGAGACCGAUAGCGAACAAGUACCGUGAGGGAAAGAUGAAAAGACUUUUGAAAAGAGAGUAAAAUAGUACCUGAAACUGCUGAAAGGGAAGCGAUUGAAGUCAGUGUUGCUCCUGGUCUUUUUGCCGUCGCCCCCGUGGGGGUUGCGGCGUGGGGCCUGGAGCGUUUCAACAUGCGUUCUGUUCCGCGGGAAAUGUUCAGUGUGCUGGAACCUUCGGGGAAACGCACUGUUCUUGUCGUGGUUAGGACGGAGGACCUUUGCUCCUUUGACUGCGCGUUCCUCUCUCGGGUAUGCUGGUGUCUACUGCUUGCAGUUUUCAUUUUCAUGCUUGCGACUGUGCGUGUUAUUCAUGAGCGAACAUGAUGUUGAAGAAAUGGCUUUAAUUACCCCGUCUUG
rnacentral:rRNA from 1 species